rnacentral:lncRNA from 1 species
UGGGGCUGCUUGCACCGGGACAGAAACCCCGAGACCGCUCCUCGCUCGUCAGAGGCCCUGCGUGCGCCCGGCUUCCGCACAUGCGCGUUGGCCGCCUGCGACCCCCUGCGUCCCCCUGCGUCCCUCUGCGUCCGGUGGCCACACGGCGGGCGCUAUUCUGGUUGAGGGGUGGGUGAUGGAGCGAUGGAUGCUAGGUGCCCGCAAAGGUGGAGGCCAAGGGCUCAGGCGUGGCAGGUGGGCCCGAGCGCGAGGAGCUCGGCCGGGACUCGCAAAGGACGGGCGUGGCGCGAAUGGGGAGAGGGGAGAGGCGGCCGGCGCUGCGCUGUGCCCCGCGAACUGGCGGGCGCUGAGAGGACAGGUUCUCUGAAGACGGAUCCUCUUACUUCUUCGCUCUGAAAGCACUUUUUAAGCCCCCAUGCUCUGCUAGGCACUGUGCUAAGCCCUGGGGAUCGGCUCUACCCGACAGACAGGCCCCUGCCUUCGGGGGACUCCGGUGGGGGGACGCAGACGUUAACCACAGCAAUCGGCUGCCAGCGGGCACACUGCUGGAGACGCCUUCUAGUGACCUCUGCCUUCCGCCGCCCCGGGGAUGCCCGUGUCCUCCCCAGCCCCGGGAGCAAGCCGGCGGCGAGUGAGCUGGGUUGGGUACUAGUCGCCAUGAUCCCCAACACGCCACCGGGCACCUCGUGGCGCCCCAGCGAGGGCUUGGCUCUGGAGUAGAUGCCGGCGGGCCGGGGGGGGGGGGUAAUUCGAUGAUCGGACAACUGUAUACAUCUUACCUGCCAGAAGAGAAAACUGACGCUAAAGCUGUAAUUGGUAAAGAAGUUCAGCCCCUGGAAUUAGCCUGUCGGGGGUAUUUAGUCAUCUUUUGUGGUUUGGAAAAUGUUCAGGUUUUGUCUGUGUUCACACAUGAUUUUGAAGUAGUCUUGCUUUUAUCUUGAUCUUCCAUGAUUACAGAAUGGCCUUAUCUGAGGUUGAUGUUCCGUGAAAUUGUUUAUGUUCUAUAGGAGAACACAAGGCCUCUCUGUAAGGGCUAGGCUAUUGUCUAGUAACAUUACAACCCAACCCAUUUACCAGGCCAGCUCCCAGUGUCAGAGACAUUUGCUUUCCUGUUUAUCAAACGUUUCUAUGACCUAGAAAUCUUUGCCUUUUUAAGGACAGAGCUAUUACAGUAAUUUGUAUACACUCAGGAUGCAGUCUAAGUUCCCUGCAGGUAGAAUUUGACAUUUCAUAAUCUUUGGUGCUUUUCACCAAGAGAAUUGAAAGAAAAGCAAUAGGAAGAAAGAGCCCAGAAUUGGAAGGUUAUUGCCAUUAACUUGUUGUAUGAAUUUCAUGAAGCAAUUUUCCCUCUCUGGACCUUGGGACAUUAAGUAGUAAAACAAGGAGGUUGAGAUAAAUGGUCUUCAUUUCAGUUACUUAUUGCAAUAUAACAAACCGCCCCGAGACUCAGUAGCUUAGGUGCAUUGGUCUAUUUUUACAAUUGUGUGGGCCCACAUGGCAUAAGCUGAGGUUACACAUGGGCUACAGUCAGCUGGAAUCUCCUUCAAAAUGACUUCUCAUCCUCUCGUGCCUCUCUUUUCCACAAGGUUUCUUAUCACUCAAGCUUCUGCAUGGUGGUUAGGAAGAGGACAAGCCCCAAUGAACAAAUGCUUGUCAAGCCUCUGGUUGUACCACACUUGCUAAUGCCCCAUUGGCCAAAGCAAGUCAUGAGACCAAGUCCACAGUCAGUGUGGAAAGGUUCUCCACAGGGACGUGAGUGCAGAGAGGCUUGGUUCAUUGGGCUCCACCAAUGGAACAGCCAACCCAAACUGCAAAGGUCCCAGCACCUGCCACAGGACAUAGCACAGCAGAGACAGGCAGGAGUCCUGUGCUGAAUACGAGCACCCUCCCCAUGUGUAUGUUUAUCUUAAACCAUCUUAUUUUAAAAUUUGACAGUUUCACAUUUUAAAAUCUGCAUUUCCAGCUUUUCUUUCAAAGUUAGAAUAUCUGACUAUUGGUUUGUUCUUGCAGUGCAAGGGAUUGCACCCAGGGCCUUGCACAUGCUGGCAAGCGCUCCACCACUGAGCCACACCCCAGCCCUGCCACUGUCUUCUUUACGUCAAGUCUGUCCUCCGUGGUUUCCCAUGUUGUCACCACUCUGUUAUUCUGUAUCUGUAUCCUAGUCUUUUUUCUGCUGCUGUAACAAUACCUGAGACUAAGAGGUGUGUUUAGUUCAUGGUUCUGAAGUCCAACAGGAUGGCACUGGCAUCUGCUUGGCAUCUGAUGAAGGCCUUUCCCUAGGUCAUGACAUGACAGAGGGUGUCACAUGGCAAGUCAGCGCAAGCUAGCCAUGUGGCUUACGAUACAGCCACUCCCUUGUACCUCAUAUCGCAAUCCAUUCAUGAGGGCACAGCCCUCAUGACCAUGUCACUCUUAACAGUCCAACCUGGUCCCACCUCUUAACACCUAGCAAUGGGGAUUAAAUUUCAACUUGAAUUUUGGUGGGGACAUUUAAAUCCUAGCUAUCCGUAUGCUUCUCUUUAAUUUUGUACCAAAUCAAUAUAGAUAUUUGUGUUUGCCAUCCUGUCAUUAGAACUGAAAUAGAGAUUGACUCAAGGCUUCUG